rnacentral:rRNA from 1 species
ACGCACGCUGGCGGCGUGCUUAACACAUGCACGUCGAACGGAAAGGCCCUGCUUUUGUGGGGUGCUCGAGUGGCGAACGGGUGAGUAACACGUGAGUAACCUGCCCUUGACUUUGGGAUAACUUCAGGAAACUGGGGCUAAUACCGGAUAGGAGCUCCUGCUGCAUGGUGGGGGUUGGAAAGUUUCGGCGGUUGGGGAUGGACUCGCGGCUUAUCAGCUUGUUGGUGGGGUAGUGGCUUACCAAGGCUUUGACGGGUAGCCGGCCUGAGAGGGUGACCGGCCACAUUGGGACUGAGAUACGGCCCAGACUCCUACGGGAGGCAGCAGUGGGGAAUAUUGCACAAUGGGCGGAAGCCUGAUGCAGCAACGCCGCGUGCGGGAUGACGGCCUUCGGGUUGUAAACCGCUUUCGCCUGUGACGAAGCGUGAGUGACGGUAAUGGGUAAAGAAGCACCGGCUAACUACGUG